GCCGUCGUAGCUCAAUUGGUAGAGCAGCUGAUUUGUAAUCAGCAGGUUGCGGGUUCAAGUCCCAUCGACGGCUCCA
rnacentral:tRNA from 1 species